UAUGUAGGAGGCGAGCGUUGUCCGGAAUUACUGGGCGUAAAGCGCGUGUAGGCGGUCUGAAUAGUCUGCUGUGAAAGCGCCUGGCUUAACCGGGCGAGGUCGGCGGAAACUCUCAGACUGGAGGCCGGUAGAGGGGGGUGGAAUUCCCGGUGUAGUGGUGAAAUGCGUAGAGAUCGGGAGGAACACCUGUGGCGAAGGCGGCCCCCUGGGCCGCGCCUGACGCUGAGACGCGAAGGCUAGGGGAGCGAACGGG
rnacentral:rRNA from 1 species